UUAACGACACCAAAAGCUCUUGGCGGAAUGGGUUUUUGCGACAUGGCACUGUUUAACUAAGCUAUGCUCGGCAAGCAAGGGUGGCGUCUUAUCACGGAUCCGGAUUCUUUAUGUGCUAGGGUAAUUAAAGGGAGAUACUACCCUCAUGGUGAAUUCUGGACUGCGACAGCACCGCGACCAGCUUCCUUCACUUGGCGGAGUAUUUUACAUGGAUGUGAGCUCUUGAAAAAAGGAAUUUGUUGGGGUACUGUCAACGGCAAGCAAACCCGGAUCCUUGUUGAUCAUUGGAUUCCAUCAAUACCUCCGAGUUUGCUUAACCCAAUUUCUCCAAUUCCAGCCAAUGCAAUAGUCCAAUGUUUAAUUGAUGAGGCUACAGGAACAUGGAAUGUUGAAACUGUGCAAGCUUUCUUUGAUGUACAGGUUGCUACAACUAUUCUUCAUGUACCUAUUAAUCAUCAUUCCUAUGAGGAUUUUGCUCGUUGGCCGUUUACAAGAUAUGGGGAGUACACUGUGAAAUUUGCUUAUAAUUUGGUGCGCUCAAAUCGUUUCUCGCUAACUCGCAGCCGGAGUGGAUGUGGCCAUUCUUCUGAUAGUGUGACCGAAGAGAAAUUUUAG
rnacentral:rRNA from 1 species